rnacentral:rRNA from 1 species
AGGACGAACGCUGGCGGCGGUGCUUAACGACGAUGCAAGUCGAGCGGAAAGGCCCUUCGGGGUACUCGAGCGGCGAACGGGUGAGUAACACGUGAGUAAUCUGCCCCUAGCUCUGGGAUAGCUCCGGGAAACCGGGAUUAAUACCGGAUACGACCACCUUAGACAUCUUUUGCGGUGGAAAGAAUUUCGGCUAGGGAUGAGCUCGCGGCCUAUCAGCUUGUUGGUGGGGUAACGGCCUACCAAGGCGACGACGGGUAGCCGGCCUGAGAGGGCGACCGGCCACACUGGGACUGAGACACGGCCCAGACUCCUACGGGAGGCAGCAGUGGGAAUAUUGCGCAAUGGGCGAAAGCCUGACGCAGCGACGCCGCGUGGGGAUGAAGGCCUUCGGGUUGUAAACCCCUUUCAGCGAGGGACGAAGCGAAAGUGACGGUACCUGCAGAAGAAGCGCCGGCUAACUACGCGCCAGUAGCCGC